rnacentral:rRNA from 1 species
UACGUAGGGUGCAAGCGUUAAUCGGAAUUACUGGGCGUAAAGCGUGCGCAGGCGGUUAUGUAAGACAGGGGUGAAAUCCCCGGGCUUAACCUGGGAACUGCAUUUGUGACUGCAUAGCUAGAGUACGGUAGAGGGGGAUGGAAUUCCGCGUGUAGCAGUGAAAUGCGUAGAUAUGCGGAGGAGCACCGAUGGCGAAGGCAAUCCCCUGGACCUGUACUGACGCCCAUGCACGAAAGCGUGGGGAGCAAACAGG